UAAGAUUAAGAGAAAGCAUAACUUGUUCUUGAAGGAUUAGAAAGAGUAAUUGCUACAAAUUUUGAAUAAUGAUAGAUUACUCUACAUUCUCGAUAUCAUAGAAUUUCAGUUUUAUUCACGUUUAUCAUUAAAAUCUGAAAUUCAACAAUAGAAAAGAAUGAUUAAAGAAGAAUGUAUCUUUUGAGGGGAAUCUUUAGAUAUUCAGUAUCUUUUUAUGGAUUGAUUUUAAUGAACCUCAUUAUAUUGCAAGACUUGCUUUAAUUAUAUAAUGAGUUUAUACCUUGAGAUGAGUUCUAUAAAGGUUGUCUUAUCUCAAACAUUGAGUCUUAUGAAAAUAAGCUGAAACUUAUAGAAAUUUUUUUUUGAGAUUGACAAUUUUACUGAACAUUAUCUUCAAAUUCUAAACUCUUAAAU
rnacentral:lncRNA from 1 species